UAUAUAUAGCUCAGUGGUAGAACACUUGCCUAACAUAUGUAUGUAUGAGGCCCUGGGUUCAAUCCCCAGUACUAGAA
rnacentral:tRNA from 1 species